rnacentral:miRNA from 1 species
AGUGAAGCUAUAUUUUGUAAAGGUGUGGAAUGGUUUGGCCUUCUUCAUGAGCUGUUGGAUUCGGGGCCGUAACACUGUCUGAGAGAGUUACAUUUCUCACAGUGAACCGGUCUCUUUUUCAGCUGCUUCCUCACUUCCUUUUA